rnacentral:rRNA from 1 species
AGUUGUUGCGGUUAAAAAGCUCGUAGUUGGAUUUCUGUUGAGGACGGCCGGUCCGCACUAUGUGCGUGUAUCUGGUUCGGCCUCGGCAUCCUCUUGAGGAACGUUUCUGCGCUUGAUUGCGUGGAGCGGUAUUCAAGACUUUUACUUUGAGGAAAUUAGAGUGUUCACGGCAGGCAAGCGCCUUGAAUAUGUUAGCAUGGAAUAAUAAUAUAGGAUCUUGGUUCUAUUUGUUGGUUUCUAGGGCUAAGGUAAUGAUUAAUAGGGAUAAUUGGGGGCAUUUGUAUUAACGCGUCAGAGGUGGAAUUCUUGGAUUGCGUUACGACAAACUACUGCGAAAGCAUUUGCCAAGGAUGUUUUCAUUGAUCAAGAACGAAAGUAUGGGGAUCGAAGAUGAUUAGAUACCGUCGUAGUCUAUACCAUAAACUAUGCCGACUAGGGAUUGGAGGUCGUUCUUUUUAUGACUCCUUCAGCACCUUAUGAGAAAUCAAAGUCUUUGGGUUCCGGGGGGAGUAUAGUCGCAAGGCUGAAACUUAAAGGAAUUGACGGAAGGGCACCACCAGGAGUGGAGCCUGCGGCUUAAUUUGACUCAACACGGGGAAACUCA